CCGACGGGAGCUUGCUCCCUUAGGUCAGCGGCGGACGGGUGAGUAACACGUGGGUAACCUGCCUGUAAGACUGGGAUAACUCCGGGAAACCGGGGCUAAUACCGGAUGCUUGAUUGAACCGCAUGGUUCAAUCAUAAAAGGUGGCUUUUAGCUACCACUUGCAGAUGGACCCGCGGCGCAUUAGCUAGUUGGUGAGGUAACGGCUCACCAAGGCGACGAUGCGUAGCCGACCUGAGAGGGUGAUCGGCCACACUGGGACUGAGACACGGCCCAGACUCCUACGGGAGGCAGCAGUAGGGAAUCUUCCGCAAUGGACGAAAGUCUGACGGAGCAACGCCGCGUGAGUGAUGAAGGUUUUCGGAUCGUAAAACUCUGUUGUUAGGGAAGAACAAGUACCGUUCGAAUAGGGCGGUACCUUGACGGUACCUAACCAGAAAGCCACGGCUAACUACGUGCCAGCAGCCGCGGUAAUACGUAGGUGGCAAGCGUUGUCCGGAAUUAUUGGGCGUAAAGCGCGCGCAGGCGGUUUCUUAAGUCUGAUGUGAAAGCCCCCGGCUCAACCGGGGAGGGUCAUUGGAAACUGGGGAACUUGAGUGCAGAAGAGGAGAGUGGAAUUCCACGUGUAGCGGUGAAAUGCGUAGAGAUGUGGAGGAACACCAGUGGCGA
rnacentral:rRNA from 1 species